rnacentral:lncRNA from 1 species
ACCUCCCAAGUACAAGCAAUAAUCCACCUGUAAUUGAUGACGCCACUUUCCAUUUUGACAGAAUACUAACAAGUAAGUGGCGGGACGAAAGAAACCUUUCUACAGGCUGCCCAUCUCUGCGGAGGAGUCAACCGGAAUGUGGAGGGCAGGGAUUGACGAGUCGGGCCAAGAACCCAUGAUAAAUAUUUUCAAAGGGACUUUCAUUCUGGAGACUCGAGAUUCGAACUCGAGUCGUCCAGAAAGGAAAGCCGAAGUAUUUCCACGCGGCCAAUCCGGCCGACUCCGAUUGAUUAUUAAAAGUGCGAAUGGGAAUUUCAAACAAACUAUACGUUACAGAAGAAACGAACCAUUGCGGAAAUGUAUAACAUGCAUGCACUAAUAUAUAGCCCGAUGCACGAGUUCCAACCACGACGAGUCCAUUUGCAUUCUACAGAUGGCGCCACAUUUUGACAGUUUCCGGUAAAUAUUCCUAUUAUCAUGGUCUAUAAAUAUAUAUGGUCAUCCCACUCCUACCGAUAACAAUAGAAAAACUG